CCGCCGAGCGCGCCGCCGACGGCGGCUUCGGUGUUGCUGCCGGCGAAGGCUGCAGCGCUGAGCAGGCUGGUGGACAACAGGAAAAUCGAGGCGUACUUCAUGGAGUGAUCCCGUAUGUGGAUUGCGCCGCGAUCCUCACGUGCCGCUGCGCUUGCGGCAAGAGCGAUCCGAUGAAAUGCGUGAUCCGGUUGGCGUUUGCUAACUAUUUGAUUUUGCUUAGGAACAAGAGGUGUUUCGAGUGGUCUUAGCUCGCUUGUGGGGCCUGCGCGCAGGGCCUUUACCCGCUCGGAAUCAGCAUCAGCCUUGCGCGCGCACCGCUGCGGCAGGGCU
rnacentral:sRNA from 1 species